rnacentral:rRNA from 1 species
GAUGAACGCUAGCUACAGGCUUAACACAUGCAAGUCGAGGGACCGGCGCACGGGUGAGUAACACGUAUCCAACCUGCCCUUUACUCGAGGAUAGCCUUUCGGAAGCAAGAUUAAUACCAGAUCUAAAGGAUGGGGAUGCGUUCCAUUAGGUUGUUGGUGAGGUAACGGCUAACCAAGGCUUCGAUGGAUAGGGGUUCUGAGAGGAAGGUCCCCCACAAUGGAGCUGAGACCCGGACUAAACUCCUACGGGAGGCAGCAGUGAGGAAUAUUGGGGAAUGGGCGCUAGCCUGAACCAGCCAAGUAGCGGGAAGAAGGAAUGCUUAUGGGUCGUAAACUUCUUUUAUAUAAGAAUAUGUAUUAUAUGAAUAAGGAUCGGCUAACUCCGUGCCAGCAGCCGCGGUAAUUC